CGAACGGCAGCACGGACUUCGGUCUGGUGGCGAGUGGCGAACGGGUGAGUAAUGUAUCGGAACGUGCCUAGUAGCGGGGAUAACUACGCGAAAGCGUAGCUAAUACCGCAUACGCCCUUCGGGGGAAAGCGGGGGACCUUCGGGCCUCGCACUAUUAAGAGCGGCCGAUAUCGGAUUAGCUAGUUGGUGGGAGUACAACAGCUCGCAAGGCGACGAUCAUGGCUGGUUUGAGGACGACCAGCCACACUGGGACUGAGACACGGCCCAGACUCCUACAGGGAGAGGCAACAGUGGGGAGUGCGGACAAUGGGGGAAACCCUGAUCAGCCAUCCGCGUGUGCGAUGAAGGCCUUCGGGUUGUAAAGCACUUUUGGCAGGAAAAGAAACGGCACGGGAUAAUACCCCGUGCAACUGACAGCAAACCUGCAGAAUAAGCACCGGCUAACUACGUGCCAGCAGCCGCGGUAAUACGUAAGUGCAGCGUUAAUCAGGGUACGGGCGCUAAAGCGUGCGCAGGCGGUUCGGAAAGAAAGAUGUGGAAUCCCAGAGCUUAACUUUGGAAUUCAUUUUUAACUACCGAGCUAGAGUGUGUGUCAGGGAGGUGGAAUUCCGCGUGUAGCAGUGAAGUAAAGUAAAUGCAGGAAGACACCGAUGGCGAAGGCAGCCUCACGGAUAACACUGACGCUCAUGCACGAAAGCGUGAACAAACAGGAUUAGUCACCUGGUGGUCUGCCUAAACGAGCGUCUCAACUAGCUGUUGGGGCCUUCGGGCCUUGGUAGCGCAGCUAACGCGUGAAGUUGACCGCCUGGGAAGUACGGUCGCAAGAUUAAAACUCAAAGGAAUUGACGGGGACCCGCACAAGCGGUGGAUGAUGUUAGUUAAUUCGAUGCAACGCGAAAACCUUACCUACCCUUGAGCAUGUCUGGAAUCCCGAAGAGAUUUGGGAGUGCUCGCAAGAGAACCGGAGCUUGCAGGUGCUGCAUGGCUGUCGUCAGCUCGUGUCGUGAGAUGUUGGAUUCAGUCCACAACAUUUGCAGCCAUGUCAUUAGUUGCUACGAAAGGACACUCUAAUGAGACUGCCAGGUGACGUGGAGAAGGUGGGGAUGACGUCAGAGUCCUCAUGGCCCAUAUGGGUGGGGCUUCACACGUCAUACAAUGGUCAGGACAGAAGGUCGCCAACCCGCGAGGGGGAACCAAUCCCAGAAACCCGAUCGUAGUCGGAUCGCAGUCUGCAACUCGACUGCGUGAAGUCGGAAUCGCUGGUAAUCGCGGAUCAGCAUGUCGCGGUGAAUGCGUUCCCGGGUCUUGUACACACCGCCCGUCACACCAUGGGAGUGGGUUUUACCAGAAGUAGUUAGCCUAACCGUAAGAGGGCGAUUACCACGUGAGAUUCCAUGACUGGGGUGAAGUCGUAACAAGGUAA
rnacentral:rRNA from 1 species